AAGAAAUCAACAAGAAUGCUCACCUUGCUCGCUUGCUCUUCAGACGUCUCCGCUUCGAUACAAAUCUCCUGCUCCCACGAACUCUUACGCUUCGUCAAUCGCUGGUGGAGGAGGAGGCGGCUUUUACUCCUGCUCCCACGAACUCUUACGCUUCGUCAAUCGCUGGUGGAGGAGGAGGCGGCUUUUUCGGUGGAAAAUUACUAGGGUUUUUUCGCUACAGUAGCCGUCCAAUUUCUUAGGGUUUUUCUCCUUC
rnacentral:lncRNA from 1 species